rnacentral:lncRNA from 1 species
GCUCAGUUGCUGUAGCAACCGGCGGGGGAAGUGGGACAGGCUGGCUUUGAGGACGCGCGAGGUCGGCCGCGGGCGGCUGGAGCCGGCGCGGGCCUCUGUGCGCCGCGAGAGGGAGGCCGCCUGCAGCCCGGCUGCUCGGCCGCCGCGGGCCCGGCUCCGGGGGUUCAGUUUUAAUGAAGAAUCCCUGCUCCCUUCUCGCGCCCCUCCCGCUUUCUGCCCACCUCCCUGGGGUCUGGAAGGAGAGGGUCGCCCCUCCCCGCUUUGGCUGCUAAACUCUCUGGCUCUCCCCCCGGCCGCUGCCUGGGUUCUGGUGGCUUCCUUCCUCCUCCUUGUCUGUCGGAGCUCAAGGGACAAGCCCUUUCCCUGGCGCGUGCCCGGUGAAACCCUCGCACCCUUCCCCAUCCCCACAAGCCUUUGGCAUGGCCUGGGAGACUCCGGGCAUCUUCAAUCCAGCCAGGGACAAGGGUCCGCGGAGGGUCUGGAGCCCCUCGUGGGCCUGGUGCCCACGGAGUGCCCACCCCUGCCCUCCAGGAGCCCCUGGGCCCCUGGGAAGGCAGCACUCUGUUCAAGGAGGAAGCCAGACCCAGCUACAGGGAGGGACCCUCGGCUGAUGCAAAGAGGCCGGAGCCCGCAUCCCAGCACCGCCCCCGCCGGCUGUCUGCUGGUUCCUUCUCCAAGGCCAGUGGAGAGAGGAUCCCUGAAGCUUGGCAGGGACAGACACAGGUUCUGGAGUGGGCUGGGCCUGAGUUCAAAUCCCACACCCCAG